UACGUAGGGGGCAAGCGUUGUCCGGAUUUAUUGGGCGUAAAGAGCGUGUAGGCGGCUUGGUAGGUCUCGCGUCAAAACCUGAGGCUCCAACCUCAGUUCGCGUGGGAAACCACCUAGCUAGAGUCCGGAAGAGGAGAACGGAAUUCCCAGUGUAGCGGUGAAAUGCGCAGAUAUCAGGAGGAACACCUGCGGUGUAGACGGCUUACUGGACCGACACUGACGCUGAGGCGCGAAAGCUAGGGGAGCAAACGGG
rnacentral:rRNA from 1 species